AACCUCGCGAUGUUUCGAAACCAUUUCAAAAUUCAAUUCAAAUUAUUGUCAACAAUAAAAGUUUUCAACUCCUAAAACUAAAAGGUUCGGGAGGUGCCAAAUAAUGCGUAGGUAAUUAUGGUGAUGAAACCAUACUUUUAUAUAUUGCUUUAAUACUCUAAAGUGAUUUAAAUAGUAACAAAAACAAUUAAGUAAAUGCCUCUUUUCAAUUAAUAAAACUCUAAACUAAUUUAUUUCGGGGUAAAACUUUUAUGUUAGUGGGUGGUUCUGAAACAUUAUUUUAGGGGAUGUUAUCAUAUUUUACUAAACUAAAAUUAAGGUGUAGCUAAAAUAAAACAGAAAAUAAGAUUAAUAAAAAAACAAAUAAAAAAGUAAAAGGAACCCCCCUCCCUCGCUGGGCUUCGGCCCAGCAGGCCACCAGGCCGCCUAGCCGGCCCAACCGGCCACCCACUCCCUCCUACUAACCCCCACCCGGGGCAAACCCUAGCCCACUACCCACUACCACCGAUUCCCCUCCCCACACCCCGUCGCCACUCCCUCUUCCCCUCCCGAUCGGAUCUGGAUCGGGGACGAACCCCCCCUCGAUGCCAACACCUCGCCACCCCUGGACAUCGACGCCGUCGUCGGUCGCCAUCGCCACCUCGCCGGAGCCUCUUCGCCUCGACCACCUUGCCUCUUCGCCGGAACGUCGCCACGCCGUCCUCCUCCCCAAGUCGCUCCCCGCGCCUCACUGCCCUGUCCCUACUCCCCGUCGUGAGCAUCCUCCCUUCCCCUCUCUGUCGUCAGGGCNNNNNNNNNNNNNNNNNNNNNNNNNNNNNNNNNNNNNNNNNNNNNNNNNNNNNNNNNNNNNNNNNNNNNNNNNNNNNNNNNNNNNNNNNNNNNNNNNNNNNNNNNNNNNNNNNNNNNNNNNNNNNNNNNNNNNNNNNNNNNNNNNNNNNNNNNNNNNNNNNNNNNNNNNNNNNNNNNNNNNNNNNNNNNNNNNNNNNNNNNNNNNNNNNNNNNNNNNNNNNNNNNNNNNNNNNGCUGCUGCCGCGCCCGAGCGCGCCCUUUCCAUGGAUGUGCGCGCUGGCCGCCCCCCCCCCACGUAGAUGCCCCAGCACCAACCCCGCUGGCCCCGCUCCCGCCGUCGCCCGUGGUGGCCUCGUCCGUCGCAUGCUCCGUGCCACCGCGCCCCCGUGUUAUCCUGUCGCGGCCCUGCUCGCUGCUUCGCUGCCGACCACACGCCGCUCCGUCCACGGUCUCGCCUAGCGCAGCCGCUCGCGGCCGCCGUUGCAUCCGGCCACCACAUGUGCUGCUCGCGCCCAGCGCCGCUCCCCUUGCCACCUGCGCCACGCUCGUCGCCCUCCCCUACCAGGCUCCACUACGGCCUCCUCGCUGGCCGCCUACAUCGCUGCCCUUGGCGCCAGUGUUUGCCUCCGGCCUCGCCCCACAGUGCCCAAGCGGGCACUCAAACGCGCCCGUAAACCGUCGCCCGCUAAGCCCCCUACCUAUGACACGGGGGCCCCACGACCCCCAGAACGUUUUAAUUAAAAAAAGGAAUUUAAUGAGAAUAUAAUAUAAUAAUAAAUAAUAAAAAUAAUUAAUUAAAUAACUAAUUAAAUAACUUAAUUAAUUCUGAUUAAAUUAACCAAUUAAGAUUAAUUAACCUAAUGAUUAAUUAACCUAAUUAACUACUGUUAAUUAGCUAAUUAAUUAGUAUGACAGUGGGGCCCACCCUCCUAAUUAAUUUUGAUUAGUUUAAUUAAAAUAUUUAAUUAAAAUGUGUCACUGACCAGUGGGACCCACUAGUCAGGUUGACCAGUCAACCCUGUUGACUGCUGACGUUAGCAUGACAUCAUGCUGAUGUCAUAAAUCCAUUUUCGGAAUUAAUUUAAAUAAUUAAAUAAAUUUCAGAAAUAAAUAUAAUCUUUAGAAAAUCAUAUAUUUUAAACCGUAGCUCGGAUGGAAAAACUUUGUACAUGAAAGUUGCUCAGGACGACGAGAUGAAUCCGGAUACGCAGCCCGUUCGUCCGCCACGCAUCCCUAGCAUAGCAAACACGCAACUUUCCCCCCUCCGGUUCGUUUGUCCGAAACCGGGAAACACCGGGGAUAUUUCCCGGAUAUUCCUCCCCUUCACCGGUACCACCUCGUACCGCGUUAGGGCACACCUAGCAUCACGCUUUGUCAUGUCAUGCAUCGCCAUGCAUUUGUUUGCAUUAUAUUUAUUGUUUCUUCCCCCUCUUCUCUCGCUAGACACCGAGACUGACGCCGCUGCUACCCAGCACGACUACGGUGUUGACGACCACUCUCUCUUGCCAGAGCAACCAGGCAAGCCCCCCCCUUUGAUCACCAGAUAUCGCCUACUCUUCUCUAUACUGCUUGCAUUAGAGUAGUGUAGCAUGUUACUGCUUUCCGUUAUUCCUAUCCUGAUGCAUAGCAUGUCCUUGCUACUACUAUUGUUACCAUUACCUGCUAUCCUACUGCUUAGUAUAGGAUGCUAGUGUUCCAUCAGUGGCCCUACACUCUUGUCCGUCUGCCAUGCUAUACUACUGGGCUGUGAUCACUUCGGGAGGUGAUCACGGGCAUAUACUAUAUACUUUACACAGUUACAUUACCUGUGGUACUGUUUGGAGUUGGGGGCUGAAGGGGCAGGUGGCUCCAUCCCGGUAGAGGUGGGCCUGGGUUCCCGACGGCCCCCGACUGUUACUUUGUGGCGGAGCGACAUGGCACGUUGAGACCACCUAGGAGAGAGGUGGGCCUGGCCCUGGCCGGUGUUCGCGGAUACUUAACACGUUUAACGAGAUCUUGGUAUUUGAUCUAAGUCUGGCUAUUGGCCUAUACGCACUAACCAUCUACGCGGGGACAGUUAUGGGCACUCGACGUCGUGGUAUCAGCCGAAGCCUUCGUGACGUCAGCGACUGAGUGGCGCGCGCCGGAUUGGACCGUAAGCCUGCUCUUGUAUUAAGGGGGCUAGUUCUGCUUCCGGCCGCGUACGCAACAUGCAGGUGUGCAAUGGGCGAUGGGCCCAGACCCUUGUGCCAUAGGAUUUAGACCGGCGUGCUGACCUCUCUGUUGUGCCUAGGUAGGGCUGCGACAUGUUGAUCUUCCGAGGCCGGGCAUGACCCAGGAAAGUCUGUCCGGCCAAAUGGGAUCGAGCAUGUUGGGUUAUGUGGUGCACCCCUGCAGGGAAGUUAAUCUAUUCGAAUAGCCGUGAUCUUCGGUAACAGGACGACUUGGAGUUGUACCUUGACCUUAUGACAACUAGAACUGGAUACUUAAUAAAACACACCCUUCCAAGUGCCAGAUACAACCGGUGAUCGCUCUCUCACAGGGCGACGAGGGGAGGAUCAUCGGUUAGGAUUAUGCUAUACGAUGCUACUUGAUGCUACUUGGUGAACUUACCAUCUACUCUCUCCUACAUGCUGAAAGAUGGAGGUGGCCAGAAGCGUAGUCUUCGACAGGAUUAGUUAUCCCCCUCUUAUUCUGGCAUUCUGCAGUUCAGUCCACAUAUGAUACCCUUAUUCCAUUUGAUACCCAUGCAUAUGUAGUGUAGCUCCUUGCAUGCGAGUACUUUGGAUGAGUACUCACGGUUGCUUUCUCCCCCCUUUUCCCCUUUUCCUUUCUUUCUGGUUGUCGCAACCAGAUGCUGGAGUCCAGGAGCCAGACGCUACCGUUGAUGACGACUACUACUACUCGGGAGGUGCCUACUACUACGUGCAGCCCGCUGACGGCGACCAGGAGUAGUUUAGGAGGAUCCCAGGCAGGAGGCCUGCGCCUCUUUCGAUAUGUAUCCCAGUUUGUGUUAGCCUUCUUAAGGCAAACUUGUUUAACUUAUGUCUAUACUCAGAUAUUGUUGCUUCCGCUGACUCGUCUAUGAUCGAGCUCUUGUAUUCGAGCCUUCGAGGCCCCUGGCUUGUAAUAUGAUGCUUGUAUGACUUAUUUUAUUUAUAGAGUUGUGUUGUGAUAUCUUCCCGUGAGUCCCUGAUCUUGAUCGUACAUGUUUGCGUGUAUGAUUAGUGUACGGUCAAAUCGGGGGCGUCACAAGUUGGUAUCAGAGCCGACUGCCUGUAGGAAUUCCCCUUCCACACUCCUUGGCCGAAGUCGAGUCUAGACAUUACAAAAACUUUUACUAACAUGGAUGUGUGCCUUACGGGCCCACGUCGCCAUCUGGGUGGUAUUAGAAUCUUUUACUCCUCGAUCCUUACUCUGGGAUUCUGACUCUCUCCUACUCGGGUUAAAUGAUUUUACUAAACCUGACUCAAGGUUCUCGUAACUACUUUCUCCCGGAGAGCCCCUUAUCACAGAUGAUCGCAUGCUGCACCAGAAGAUUCCGAAGAUACUCUCCAAUGUUCUCUUGAGACUUUGUGCCCGCCGCCUUUGCAAUUCCCUACCACCGAAUUAUCCCUAUGGAUAAAUAGAUACACCAGUCGUCCUUACUUUUAUUCCUAGCUGAUCUUUUUAUUGCAAGAUACCCCGAAAUUCUCUCUAUUGUCUCGAGAAUACUUUGUGCCUACCGCCUUGCAGUUCUUUGCCGCCUGAAUGUCCCUAUGGAUAAAUUCUUGCAUCUACCGAGUAUCCGCUCAUCCCCAGUUGUUUAUGUGUUUCACUAAGGUCUUCCAAAUAAUAUUCGAUCUUCCAAAAAUCCUUAGCAGCUUAUUGCCCUUGAAAUUCUUGCUUGCUUGCAUUAUGGUUAAUCCCAUAAGUCUCAUAAUCAUUAUUGGCAUCCCUUGUCAUUGUCAUUUUGGGUCUUUGAUCCAAUAUGGUUGUGAAUGCUUGCAAUCCUCGGGAUUUAUCCUCCCGGCUCAGAAAUCAUUUUAAACAUGAGCUGGUUCUCGACCAAUCGGAUUGCCAUCGAUUGUACCCUAAGCAUACGUAACUUAUCCAUCCUUAAUCAAAGUGUUUGCUUCUGAUCCCUUGGUCGGAAAUCAUAAUUCUUUUGCAUUUGAGCUUUGAAUUAGUCAGUUGUUUCUAUAGUCUGAUCUCCUUGCAUUGUUUCUUCCUUUGGUUGAGUACCGAUGCUCACAUCAGAUCCUUUGAGGACCACCGGAUCCUUUGUUGGAUUUUAUCCGAUAGCGUCCGUCAUAUUCAAUCCCUUUGGAAGUUCUUUCUCCAUUGGUAAAUCCUAUCCUCUGAUUGACCAACCAUGCUCUGCUUUCGAGCUUGUGGUAUUUACUAUUGAAGCUUGUGGUAUAUGUUUCCAUGAUACCCUGACGGGUUGAACCUAUGCCUUCCUUAAUAUGUGUGAACUCGAAAGUUUUCACGAGUCAUACUCUUCUGGUGUUUUGCUAGAUAAAAUCUCAACACUACAACUUCUUCGAAAGUGAGAGGUGAAUGGAAGGUUAUACAUUGAAGAAGUGGGAGUCGACCUUGAACUUUGUGUUCAUGUCCAUGGUCACGACGUAGAUCCUACCAUAGAAGCUUCUUGUAAUAAUAACUAUUUCGUUGAUAUAAUAUCAUCUGGUAUCUGUGAACUGAUCCUAAGCAAUCAUGGUUCCGACCAUAUUUUCUCCUUAAUACCAUUUCUCGGACAAGUUGAAGUACUUGUCUUGUGCAGAUCAUUGCACUUGUCCAACCUUUACUUUGAUCUACCGUCGAGUAUUACACUAUGAUAUCUUGAUAAUGUCAUGGUACUACAUAACUUCUUAUGGGUUCUUCAUCAAAUAUUAUUUCUCCCCUAAUCCAAUUUUUCUUGGGUUCUGGGUUGUCAUCAAACGAGAACACCGAAUAGUGAAUCGAGUCUGUACUCCGAUUCAAUAACUCCUAAGUAAUUUUCAUUUCUUACGAGUUUAAUAACCCUUCAAGUCAUUCCUAGCCUGAUUGGCCAUAUCAUUAUCGUGCAAAAAUUUAACUGUGCUACCUGGUCCUUCUUCCCGGAGCAAAAUUUUCGAUGAUGAGCUAAGCUUACGUCGAUCUUCCUCGUCAUAACACUUCGCCUUGAACUACGAGCUUGUUUCGAGUUUGUGUCAUACCCUUGGUUUCAAUAACCUUUCGCUUCAUCAUUCCUUUGGCUUGAUGUCAUCGCCGACCGAUUACAUCUUCGUGAAAUCUCUCAACAAUUGUGUCGUGAUCAUCAUCAGCAUUCUGAGCUCUUCCAGGAUGUCAAUUGAGUUCAUGAUGAGAAAUACCAUCCUUGCCCUCAAUGAUCUGUAUUAUCAUUGACCACUUUAUUGACUUCCCUCCAACACAAACUUGUCGUGUUUUGUGUUAUACCUUGAGUUCCUUGCUAUCCAGCAUUUGAUCUUCCUUACCUUGGAGUAUUACCAUCUUUAAUGUCAAGAAAGUCGUGAGAAUUUGACCACCUCUUAUGGAUUCUUGAUACAGGUAAUACUUCUCACCAUCACCUUUCUUUCUUGGUCCCCGUGUUGGUUCUAACCGGGAUACCAACAGGUGAACGGUGUUGUUUGGAUUCUGCCCUUCUAGCAACCCUAUUGUUUUGAAGUUAAUGGUCGAACGUUCAUUCUUAGACUAUUGAUCACUGAAUCACCAUUCUAACAUUUGAUCAUGCUACCUAAGCCCAUACUUAGGGCACCCUUUUCAAUUAAUGUUUAAUUGUGUAUGUUUUUCCUUGAGCAUACAUCAUUUUAUCAUUUGAUUCGACAAAUCUUAUCUCCUUGUUCAAUAACUGUGGAAAUCCAUCUUUUUGGAUACCUCGAUGUAUUAUUGCUGAGUCCAUCAGCCACCUCCUCAUCCUCUCCUUGGCUUAAUGAUGAAUCCCUUCGUGUAUCCAGAGUCCGACCUUUGCUUGAAGACCAUGUCAAUGCUAUCUUGAAGCAUGUCUGUGGUACUCCCAUUUUCAACAAGAACAUUUGAAGCCCAAUGCUAAAUGUUUCUUGCUCAAUUACCCAAACACCACUGUAUGGGUAAUGUCAUGAAAUACCCCCCCCCUUACCUAAAGGGUUUUCUACAUUAUAUCCUGUCAAGGAAAUCAUGCUUUGCUUGUCCUUGGGAAGAAUAUACCCUUGAAAUAUGUGUUUAAACACAUUUUCCUUUCCAUUGUUCUGUUUAAACCUGAUAAUCACUUUUCCUUUCCAUUAGUUUGUUUAAACCUUCUUGUGAUCUAUAUUGUAUAAGCAGUAAUAUAUCCCUGCUUAUGUAAACACCUCGUUGUACCACUCUGUUAGAAAGACCCUGUUACUUUUGUUGAUGACAUUCCGGUAGCCACCGAUGGACGAGAACCUUGCCUAUUGGUCCGCCUCGUUCAACGAGCAGGAAAAUGGUUCUCUUCGUCCCUUGCCCUUGGUACCAACGUUGUUGCCAACAUAACUGGCAGGCUACCCUAUGACAUGCCUUGCUUACAUGAUCGUGCAAGAUGUCACCGCCCUUCCUGCUUUUAACCCACAUUGUGGGCCCAUAACCCACAGUUCCACAUGAUCGUAACCGGACUCUCCUGUACAACCCUAUUUCUAACGGUUAUUCCUCAUGCUUGGCUUCAUAUUUAAUUCACGGGCCACCUUCCUAGUACUCUAUUCUGGUAUCAUACGCAAUACUUACUCUCACCGCUCUGAACCCCUUUCUCACUCUGGUUGAGACUUCGAGCAACUAUCUAUCCGCUUGGAACCCCUUAUUGUACAUUCGUACCUUACUCUCGAUGUAUUUUAUAUGCUCAACUUGAGAGAUACUCUUAUGCUCAUUCAUGGAUUAACCCCAGAUUUUUCCCUCAUAAGCAUUCUGUCAUAGCUGAGCUGCCCCUUACCUAUUCGUAAGUACGUUGGAGUUCCCGAAGGAAAGGACGACUUCACCAUGAUGACCUGAAGUAGAGAAAUGAAGAUGUCAAUGUAAUGAAUCAACUUCUUCGAGAAGAGCAAGCCAGAAUGAGAAGACCUGCUAGACUCGUUACCAAACCUUCCCCCCUUUCCCUACCUCUUAAAUCUCGGGACGAGAUUUCUUGUAGUAGAGGAGAUUUGUGACAUCCGGAUAAUUAAGCUACAGUAAUCCCACGCUAAUGAUGCCAUGUCACCACGGUUACUAUUGUUAACCUCGCGAUGUUUCGAAACCAUUUCAAAAUUCAAUUCAAAUUAUUGUCAACAAUAAAAGUUUUCAAUUCCUAAAACUAAAACGUUCGGGAGGUGCCAAAUAAUGCGUAGGUAAUUAUGGUGAUGAAACCAUACUUUUAUAUAUUGCUUUAAUACUCUAAAGUGAUUUAAAUAGUAACAAAAACAAUUAAGUAAAUGCCUCUUUUCAAUUAAUAAAACUCUAAACUAAUUUAUUUUGGGGUAAAACUUUUAUGCUAGUGGGUGGUUCUGAAACAUUAUUUUAGGGGAUGUUAUCAUAUUUUACUAAACUAAAAUUAAGGUGUAUCUAAAAUAAAACAGAAAAUAAGAUUAAUAAAAAAACAAAUAAAAAA
rnacentral:lncRNA from 1 species